AACGGGGGGCUCAAGUGGUAUCCGUGCAUACUGGGCUUAAAGCGUUCGUAGCUGGUCUUAACCGUCUCUUGUGAAAUCGUACCGCUCAACGGUUCGGCUUGCAAGAGAUACCUUAAGGCUCGAGGCCGGGAGAGGUCUGGGGUACACUCGGAGAAGGGGCGAAAUCCGUCGAUCCCGGGUGGACCAACGGUGGCGAAGGCGCCAGACUAGAACGGUCCUGACAGUGAGGAACGAAGGCUGGGGGAGCGACCCGGAUUAGAUAAGCCUUUCUUUUGGAAAAAGAAACCCUUGGGAAAGAAAACAAGGCUGUUACGCCUAUGGUUGAGUAACAGCCUAACCUUGGGAAAAUAUCAUUAGGAAGGCUCUAAAAACCCGGUUAGUCCCAGCUGUAAACUAUGUUCGCUUGGUGUCUGGUAACCCUCGAGGUUGCUAGGUGCCGGAGGGAAAACCGUUAAGCGAACCGCCUGGGGAGUACGGUCGCAAGACUGAAACUUAAAGGAAUUGGCGGGGGAGCACUACAAGGGGUGGAUGCUGCGGUUCAAUCGGAUGCAACCCCGAGAAUCUCACCAGAGAAGACGGCAGAAUGAUAGACAGUCUUAAGGGCUUUCUUGACAAGCCGAGAGGUGGUGCAUGGCCAUCGUCAGCUCGUGCUGUGAGGCUUUUUCUUUGGAAAAGAAAAACCCUGGAAAAAGAAACAAAGCGUCUCGUUUCACUCGAGCGCUUAACCAGGUUCUUAAAUUCCAUUGGAAAGCUCAGCAUAAGUGUCCAGUCAAGUCUGGCAACGAGCGAGACCCAUACCAUUAGUUGCUAGUUAUUAGAUUCUAAUGACGCACUCUAAUGGGACCGCCGGCGCUAAGCCGGAGGAAGGAAUGGGCGACGGUAGGUCUGUAUGCCCCGAAUUCUUUGGGCUACACGCGGCAUACAAUGGUUUGGACAGCGGGCUGCGACACCGAAAGGUGAAGCUAAUCCCUUAAACCAAAUCUCAGUUCAGAUCGUGGGCUGCAACUCGCCCUCGUGAAGCUGGAAUCCCCAGUAAUCGCGUUUUAAAAAAGCGCGGUGAAUACGUCCCUGCUCCU
rnacentral:rRNA from 1 species